AUUCAAAUAGUUUAAGGAAAAAUAUAAGUUUGUGGUACUUAAGAUGUAGAUUAUUACUUUGGAUA
rnacentral:tRNA from 1 species